AGAGUUUGAUCAUGGCUCAGGAUGAACGCUAGCGGCAGGCCUAAUACAUGCAAGUCGAACGGGCUGGAGUAGCAAUACUCCAGUUAGUGGCGCACGGGUGCGUAACGCGUAUGCAACCUACCUUUUAUUGGGGGAUAGCCCGAAGAAAUUCGGAUUAAUACCGCAUAACACUGUUUGAGGGCAUCUGAGGACAGUUAAAGCUACGGCGAUAAAAGAUGGGCAUGCGUGUCAUUAGCUAGUUGGUUGAGGUAACGGCUCACCAAGGCGACGAUGACUAGGGGUUCUGAGAGGAUGAUCCCCCACACUGGUACUGAGAUACGGACCAGACUCCUACGGGAGGCAGCAGUAGGGAAUAUUGGGCAAUGGGCGAAAGCCUGACCCAGCCAUGCCGCGUGCAGGAUGAAGGCCUUCUGGGUUGUAAACUGCUUUUAUCUAGGAAGAAAAAGUCCUUGCGAGGAAAACUGACGGUACUAGAUGAAUAAGCACCGGCUAACUCCGUGCCAGCAGCCGCGGUAAUACGGAGGGUGCAAGCGUUGUCCGGAUUUAUUGGGUUUAAAGGGUGCGUAGGCGGCGUAAUAAGUCCGUGGUGAAAGCCAACAGCUCAACUGUUGAACUGCCAUGGAUACUGUUAGGCUUGAGUACAGACGAGGUAGGCGGAAUGGAUCGUGUAGCGGUGAAAUGCAUAGAUACGAUCCAGAACUCCGAUUGCGAAGGCAGCUUACUAGGCUGUAACUGACGCUGAGGCACGAAAGCGUGGGGAGCGAACAGGAUUAGAUACCCUAGUAGUCC
rnacentral:rRNA from 1 species